rnacentral:rRNA from 1 species
AUUGAACGCUGGCGGCAUGCUUUACACAUGCAAGUCGAACGGUAACAGGCCGCAAGGUGCUGACGAGUGGCGAACGGGUGAGUAAUGCAUCGGAACGUGCCCAGUCGUGGGGGAUAACUGCUCGAAAGAGCAGCUAAUACCGCAUACGAUCUAUGGAUGAAAGCGGGGGACCGUAAGGCCUCGCGCGAUUGGAGCGGCCGAUGUCAGAUUAGGUAGUUGGUGGGGUAAAGGCUCACCAAGCCAACGAUCUGUAGCUGGUCGGAGAGGACGACCGGCCACACUGGGACUGAGACACGGCCAAGACUCCUACGGGAGGCAGCAGUGGGGAAUUUUGGACAAUGGGGGCAACCCUGAUCCAGCAAUGCCGCGUGCAGGAAGAAGGCCUUCGGGUUGUAAACUGCUUUUGUACGGAACGAAAAGGCUCUGGUUAAUACCUGGGGCUCAUGACGGUACCGUAAGAAUAAGCACCGGCUAACUACGUGCCAGCAGCCGCCGUAAGAC